GACGAACGCUGGCGGCGUGCUUAACACAUGCGAGUCGAACGGAAAGGCCCUGCUUUUGUGGGGUGCUCGAGUGGCGAACGGGUGAGUAACACGUGAGUAACCUGCCCUUGACUUUGGGAUAACUUCAGGAAACUGGGGCUAAUACCGGAUAGGAGCUCCUGCUGCAUGGUGGGGGUUGGAAAGUUUCGGCGGUUGGGGAUGGACUCGCGGCUUAUCAGCUUGUUGGUGGGGUAGUGGCUUACCAAGGCUUUGACGGGUAACCGGCCUGAGAGGGUGACCGGCCACAUUGGGACUGAGAUACGGCCCAGACUCCUACGGGAGGCAGCAGUGGGGAAUAUUGCACAAUGGGCGGAAGCCUGAUGCAGCAACGCCGCGUGCGGGAUGACGGCCUUCGGGUUGUAAACCGCUUUCGCCUGUGACGAAGCGUGAGUGACGGUAAUGGGUAAAGAAGCACCGGCUAACUACGUG
rnacentral:rRNA from 1 species